rnacentral:rRNA from 1 species
UGGGGAAUAUUGCACAAUGGGCGAAAGCCUGAUGCAGCGACGCCGCGUGAGGGAUGACGGCCUUCGGGUUGUAAACCUCUUUCAGUAGGGACGAAGCGCAAGUGACGGUACCUGCAGAAGAAGCACCGGCUAACUACGUGCCAGCAGCCGCGGUAAUACGUAGGGUGCGAGCGUUGUCCGGAAUUACUGGGCGUAAAGAGCUCGUAGGCGGUUUGUCACGUCGUCUGUGAAAUCCUAGGGCUUAACCCUGGACGUGCAGGCGAUACGGGCUGACUUGAGUACUACAGGGGAGACUGGAAUUUCUGGUGUAGCGGUGGAAUGCACAGAUAUCAGGAAGAACACCGAUGGCGAAGGCAGGUCUCUUGGUAGUAACUGACGCUGAGGAGCGAAAGCAUGGGUAGCGAACAGG